UACAGAGGUGGCAAGCGUUGUUCGGAAUUACUGGGCGUAAAGAGCGUGUAGGCGGUCCGGUAAGUCAGCUGUGAAAGUCAAGGGCUCAACCCUUGAAAGCCGGUUGAUACUGUCGGGCUAGAGUCCGGAAGAGGCGAGUGGAAUUCCCGGUGUAGCGGUGAAAUGCGCAGAUAUCGGGAGGAACACCAAUGGCGAAGGCAGCUCGCUGGGACGGUACUGACGCUGAGACGCGAAAGCGUGGGGAGCAAACAGG
rnacentral:rRNA from 1 species